UACGAAGGGGGCUAGCGUUGCUCGGAAUCACUGGGCGUAAAGGGCGUGUAGGCGGUCAAGUAAGUGGAAUGUGAAAUGCCCCGGCUCACCCGGGGACCUGCAUCCCAAACUGCUUGGCUUGAGUAUGGGAGAGGAUGAGGGAAUUCCUGGUGUAGCGGUGAAAUGCGUAGAUAUCAGGAGGAACACCGGUGGCGAAAGCGCUCAUCUGGCCCAAUACUGACGCUGAGGCGCGAAAGCUAGGGGAGCAAACGGG
rnacentral:rRNA from 1 species